rnacentral:rRNA from 1 species
AGAGUUUGAUCCUGGCUCAGAACGAACGCUGGCGGCGUGCCUAACACAUGCAAGUCGAACGAGAAAGUUUCCUUCGGGAAACCAGUAAAGUGGCGCAAGGGUGAGUAACACGUGAAUAAUCUGCCUACGAAUUCGGGAUAACUCGACGAAAGUUGUGCUAAUACCGGAUAAGACCACACUUCUUAUGGAGCGUGGCCAAAGGAGUCUCAAACUCCGUUUGUAGAUGAGUUCGCGGACCAUUAGCUUGUUGGCGGGAUAACAGCCCACCAAGGCGACGAUGGUUAGCCGGCCUGAGAGGGUGAUCGGUCACACUGGAACUGAGACACGGUCCAGACUCCUACGGGAGGCAGCAGUGGGGAAUAUUGCGCAAUGGGCGAAAGCCUGACGCAGCAACGCCGUGUGAGGGAUGAAGGCUCUUGAGUCGUAAACCUCUGUCAGAUGGGAAGAAUUCUGACGGUACCAUCAGAGGAAGCACCGGCUAACUCCGUGCCAGCAGCCGCGGUAAUACGGAGGGUGCAAGCGUUAAUCGGAAUUACUGGGCGUAAAGCGUGCGUAGGCGGUUUAUUAAGUCAGAUGUGAAAGCCCCGGGCUUAACCUGGGAACUGCAUUUGAAACUGGUCAACUUGAGUAUGGUAGAGGAAAGUGGAAUUUCUGGUGUAGCGGUGAAAUGCGUAGAUAUCAGAAGGAACAUCAAUGGCGAAGGCAGCUUUCUGGACCAAUACUGACGCUGAGGUACGAAAGCGUGGGUAGCAAACAGGAUUAGAUACCCUGGUAGUCCACGCCGUAAACGAUGAUAACUAGCCGUUGGGGGGAUUUACCCCUUAGUGGCGAAGCUAACGCGUUAAGUUAUCCGCCUGGGGAGUACGGCCGCAAGGCUAAAACUCAAAGGAAUUGACGGGGACCCGCACAAGCGGUGGAGCAUGUGGUUUAAUUCGAUGCAACGCGAAGAACCUUACCUGGUCUUGACAUCCUGCGAACUUUCUAGAAAUAGAUUGGUGCCUUCGGGAACGCAGUGACAGGUGCUGCAUGGCUGUCGUCAGCUCGUGUCGUGAGAUGUUGGGUUAAGUCCCGUAACGAGCGCAACCCCUAUCCUUAUUUGCCAGCACAUUAUGGUGGGAACUAUAAGGAGACUGCCGGUGAUAAACCGGAGGAAGGCGGGGACGACGUCAAGUCAUCAUGGCCCUUACGACCAGGGCUACACACGUGCUACAAUGGGAAGGACAAAGAGCCGCGAAGCCGCGAGGUGUAGCUAAUCUCAUAAAUCUUUUCGUAGUCCGGAUUGGAGUCUGCAACUCGACUCCAUGAAGUCGGAAUCGCUAGUAAUCGUAGAUCAGAAUGCUACGGUGAAUACGUUCCCGGGUCUUGUACACACCGCCCGUCAUACCAUGGGAGUGGGUUGCACCAGAAGUGGCUAGUCUAACUUAGUGAGGACGGUCACCACGGUGUGAUUCAUGACUGGGGUAAAGUCGUAACAAGGUAACC